rnacentral:rRNA from 1 species
UAACCGGGCCUUCGGGCCCCUAUUCUCACCCUUUGUCUACCACACUUUGUUGCCUUGGCGCUUCGGCGCCAGUGGAACGAAACCCUGGAAUCAUUGCUGUCUGAGUACUAUAUAAUAGUUAAAACUUUCAACAACGGAUCUCUUGGUUCUGGCAUCGAUGAAGAACGCAGCGAAAUGCGAUAAGUAAUGUGAAUUGCAGAAUUCAGUGAAUCAUCGAAUCUUUGAACGCACAUUGCGCCCUCUGGUAUUCCGGGGGGCAUGCCUGUUCGAGCGUCAUUACAACCCUCAAGCUCUGCUUGGUAUUGGGCUCGCCCUGUAGGGCUUGCCUCAAAAUCAGUGGCGGCCACCGUCCGACCUUCAGCGCAGUAAUGCUCGUCGCUGUGAGGGAGGGCCGAAGCCGUCAGACNNCCCCCACUUUACAAGGUUGACCUCGGAUCAGGUAUGGAUACCCGCUGAACUUAAGCAUAUCANUGAGCGGAGGAAAA